CAGCGCCACGAGUGGCAUCCGUAUUUAUUGGGUCUAAAGCGUCCGUAGCCGGCUUAAUAAGUCUCUUGUGAAAUCAUUGGGCUUAACUCAAUGCUGUGCUUGAGAUACUGUUGAGCUAGGAACUGGGAGGAGUCAGAAGUAUUUCUAGGGGAGCGGUAAAAUGCUAUAAUCCUAGAAGGACUACCUGUGGCGAAGGCGUCUGACUAGAACAGAUUCGACGGUGAGGGACGAAAGCUAAGGGAGCAAUCCGGAUUAGAUACCCGAGUAGUCC
rnacentral:rRNA from 1 species